rnacentral:snRNA from 1 species
CUGCUUAAAUCGUUAUCUUCGA